rnacentral:rRNA from 1 species
GACGAACGCUGGCGGCGUGCCUAACACAUGCAAGUCGAGCGGAGCGGCGAACGGGUGAGUAACGCGUGAGUAACUGCCCCCCUCUCUGGGUACCCAGUUGGAAACGGCAGCUCAUACCGGAUAGUGGGGGAUGAGUCGGGUCCUAUGAGUUUGUUGGUGGGGUAGUGGCCUACCAGGGGGGCGAGGGGUAGCCGGCCUGGGAGGUGGACCAGGCACAUUGGUCUGUGAGACGGACCAGACGCCUACGGGAGGCAGCGGUGGAGAGUAUUGCACAAUGGGGGAAACCCUGAUACGGCAGCGCCGCGUGCGGAAUGACGGCCUGCGGGUUGUGAACCGCUUUCAGCCAUGACGCGGUAGUGGCAGAAGAAGCACCGGCUAACUACGUGCCAGCAGCCGCGGUAAUAC